UCCGGGAUUGUGUAAUGGUAGCACAAUGGCUUUUGGAGCCAUUUGUCUAGGUUCGAAUCCUAGUCCCGGAG
rnacentral:tRNA from 1 species